CGACAAGGGCGGCAGCAACAAGGGCGCGCCGGGCGGCAAGGGGUGGCAGGAGAUCGGCGUCAUCGAGGAGGAAGGGCUCAUGGACGAGGAGGACCACACGCGGAUCGUGCCCCGCAAGUGCUACUGCUUCCUCGCCUUCCUGCUCGGCUUCGUCGCGCUCUUCUCCUUCUUCGCGCUCGUGCUCUGGGGCGCCAGCAGGUCCCAGAAGCCGCGCAUCGUCAUGGGCACCAUCCGCUUCGACAACUUCAUCAUCCAGGCCGGCACCGACGCGUCGCUCGUGCCCACCGACAUGGCCACCACCAACUCCACCGUCAGAUUCACCUACCGCAACAGGGGCACCUUCUUCGGGAUCCACGUCACCGCCGACCCGUUCCAGCUCUCCUACAGCCAGCUCACGCUCGCGUCAGGAGACGUAAGUGAAUCUGUCCUCGUCCGUCCAUCCAGAUGGAGAUCCAUCUAUCCUGGACUGUCUAACAAAGGGAAUCCGUGAAUGAAAUGCAGCUCCACAACUUCUACCAGCCUCGCAGCAGCAGCCGCACCGUCAGCGUCGCCGUGGUCGGCAACAAGGUGCCGCUGUACGGCGGCGGACCCACGCUGACGGCGGCGCCGGCGGCCGGGGGCAAGGGGCAGCAGCAGGCCAGCGCCAAGGUGGCAUCGGUGCCCAUGGUGCUGAGGACCACGCUGCACUCGCGGGCCUACGUGCUGGGCGCGCUGGUCAAGCCCAAGUUCACGCUCGCCGUCGAGUGCAGGGUGCUCAUGAACCCAAACAAGCAGAACAAGCCCAUCUCGCUCGGGAACGCCUGCCACUACUCAUGAUAUAUUUAGCCUCUCAUACUAGCUGCUCAACAUCACCAUGCCCAUGCAUCCAUCUCCUACCUACCUCUCAAUUGUACUGUAAUGGAGUAUUUAUUGAUUUAUUUAUGCUUUGCUUCGUCUUCUCUUCUCUGUAUUGAUUUUCUUUGUUCAUUCCUUCUACCUUUCGUAUGCAUAUUUUGGGGUUAUUUUCGUCUAUUUUAAUAGUGAUGACGGUGAGGCUAGGUAUGUCUUUCAAGAGUCGUCAGAAGGCGGAAACUUUACAUGUAAACUCAAAACAUUUAAUCUAAAUUAUGGAAUAGUCCAAUGAAAUGAAAAAAUCUACCGCCAAUAUACCGUUAUUCACACACAAGCCCUAGGACCCUAGCUGUAUAUAACCCAUUUUUUAGUAACAUAACUUCAUAAAAGAAGAUGUAACAAAAGCUGUGUAAUUCCUAUCAUGAGGUAACAAAAUAAUUAUACUUCCUAAUGAUCAUAUAAUUUAUUUUAUAAAGGCGAGCCUCUAUGGGAAAUUUGCCAGUUUAUUUAUAUACCAUGCACCCGCGAGGAUUUAUUUCACUGCCUGUGGAUCAAAAUAAAAUAUCAAUGUGUUUUAUAGAAAACAAAAUAAAAUAUAGUUAAAAUAUCAGACUAUUCACGAAUUGAGACAAAAAACAAUAGGGUCCAUCUGUGUCGGCCCAACAAAUGGCCCAAACUGUACAAUUGCCCCAUCCGCAGUCCGUGCGGUCCGCUCGCCGUACCCUUCUUUAUGUUAUUGGGCAAAAAUCUUCACCCAAUUGGUAAACGGGUAUUAAAACGUUCCACCUUCAUUCAUACCUGUUAACCCGUAGAUAUAAAAUACCCAAUAUAAACUUAGCCCAAACAUUAACUUAGAUUUAGUCAUUCAUCUUUUUUACUAUUUAAUAACCUUUUAGGCCAUUAUGUCAUAGAAGGCUUAACUACAAUUUAAUGACCAUGUAAUGGAACAUGUAAUUCACCCAAUGUGUAUUGAAUGGAUGGUUAAAUGAUGCUGGAAAUUUUGUAAUGGUAUUUAGAUGAAUAUACUUUACAUUUGUAUAAUAUAAUAUUUUGAUAGAUGUUUAAUUUUUGUGGGUACGGGUGACCCGAUGGGUGACCUAUACCCACGUGGGUAUGAGUAUGAGGGUAAAUCCAUACCAACCAAUGUAUAUGAGUGAUCAGAUAUGAUUAUUUUUUUGUUGUGGAUAUGAGUAUAUGGUGGUAAUAUCUUGUAGGUAUCUAUUGCCAUCUCUAGCCUGAGGUCCUGAGCGGCGUGCGGCGCUUCUCCAAAUCUCCCAUCCUAUCGACUCACGUUCCUGCGUUCGAAACCCUAUUUCCGUCCGAGGCGGCGGCGGCGGCGGACCGGCAGCUCCCCGCUCGGCUUGUAUUGGGCGGCUGUCGCGCUGCAGCAGCCAGGGGCAUCGUCGCGCUCGCACCAACCGAAGACGGCGUCGGCCUCCACGCGGCACCGACGACCGACCCACCGUCCCAAGUCCAACGAGGAGGCCGGAGCGCUGAGCAGCCGUCUGCAUCCUCCUCCCGAAGGUGAGCCCCCAUCCCCAGUCCUAAUUCACCAGGUACAGGCCGAUUAGCAUAUUAACAGGCCCACACACAACCCAUCACCGCUAAACCCUUUCUUUACAACCAACACAGCAGGCGAUAUAUCACACACACACACAGGACAGGGCAACCCCACCGGUCGGUGUCCACCCCGGGAAUUUGCCUGGCAAGGAUUUGCCUCCCCUGUGCGGGCUCCCCCAGGGUUUUCCUAGCCGGGCUGCCAAAGGAGGCCUUACAGUGACCAUCACCCACUAGGUUUGCCUACCCCUUCUCUUCCCUUCAUGUUGUGCGAACCUGAGCACCCAAACCCUAACUUAAGCUAUUUUGCUAUCUGUACUUGCAUCUGAUAGUUAUCAAUCUAUGCGUCUUUCUUGCCUACUGAAUUAAAUGUUGUGUCUGCCCCUAGUUCUUCUGCGGCGAACAAGGUCAAUCCAGGGCCGUGGUGCGGGUGCUGUUUUUUUUCCAACAAGUUUAUGUUGGUCGCUCGACCGCUGCAGCAAUGAAGAUGUGAGUGCUCGUGUCUCACCGCCAACCUAUAACUUUUUGUUGUUCCUUGUUACUUGUAUGCCGCGCCAACCUGUGCAUCGUCUACUGUACAUAUACUUUUUUUCCUGAGCACCACUGUACGUAUUUCGCACCAUGCAUUUCUUUGAAAAAAAAUGAUCCGACAUGUGCUUCAGAAGUUGCUGUUGGCCUGGGUUCAACCAGGCUGCCUUGGAUGCGAGUCCUUGAUUAAUGAUCUUUUUCAGUUUUGCUGGAUAAUUUUCUCGAACUUUAACCAUAAAUGGGUGAUCAAGUGUGAGGCCAACCAUGUAGAUUUUUCAAGUUUAUUUCUCAAUUUUCAAGGCCGACAAGGGCGGCAGCAACAAGGGCACGCCGGGCGGCAAGGGGUGGCAGGAGAUCGGCAUCAUCGAGGAGGAAGGGCUCAUGGACGAGGAGGACCACACGCGUAUCGUGCCCCACAAGUGCUACUGCUUCCUCGCCUUCCUGCUCGGCUUCGUCGCGCUCUUCUCCUUCUUCGCGCUCGUGCUCUGGGGCGCCAGCAGGUCCCAGAAGCCGCGCAUCGUCAUGGGCACCAUCCGCUUCGACAACUUCAUCAUCCAGGCCGGCACCGACGCGUCGCUCGUGCCCACCGACAUGGCCACCACCAACUCUACCGUCAGAUUCACCUACCGUAACAGGGGCACCUUCUUCGGGAUCCACGUCACCGCCGACCCGUUCCAGCUCUCCUACAGCCAGCUCACGCUCGCGUCAGGAGACGUAAGUGAAUCUGUCCUCGUCCGUCCAUCCAGAUGGAGAUCCAUCUAUCCUGGACUGUCUAACAAAGGGAAUCCGUGAAUGAAAUGCAGCUCCACAACUUCUACCAGCCUCGCAGCAGCAGCCGCACCGUCAGCGUCGCCGUGGUCGGCAACAAGGUGCCGCUGUACGGCGGCGGGCCCACGCUGACGGCGGCGCCGGCGGCCGGGGGCAAGGGGCAGCAGCAGGCCAGCGCCAAGGUGGCGUCGGUGCCCAUGGUGCUGAGGACCACGCUGCACUCGCGGGCCUACGUGCUGGGCGCGCUGGUCAAGCCCAAGUUCACGCUCGCCGUCGAGUGCAGGGUGCUCAUGAACCCAAACAAGCAGAACAAGCCCAUCUCGCUCCGGAACGCCUACCACUACUCAUGAUAUAUUUAGCCUCUCAUACUAGCUGCUCAACAUCACCAUGCCCAUGCAUCCAUCUCCUACCUACCUCUCAAUUGUACUGUAAUGGAGUAUUUAUUGAUUUAUUUAUGCUUUGCUUCGUCUUCUCUUCUCUGUAUUGAUUUUCUUUGUUCAUUCCUUCUACCUUUCGUAUGCAUAUUUUGGGGUUAUUUUCGUCCAUUUUAAUAGUGAUGACGGUGAGGCUAGGUAUGUCUUUCAAGAGUCGUCAGAAGGCGGAAACUUUACAUGUAAACUCAAAACAUUUAAUCUAAAUUAUGGAAUGGUCCAAUGAAAUGAAAAAAUCUACCGCCAAUAUACCGUUAUUCACACACAAGCCCUAGGACCCUAGCUGUAUAUAACCCAUUUUUUAGUAACAUAACUUCGUAAAAGAAGAUGUAACAAAAGCUGUGUAAUUCCUAUCAUGAGGUAACAAAAUAAUUAUACUUCCUAAUGAUCAUAUAAUUUAUUUUAUAAAGGCGAGCCUCUAUGGGAAAUUUGCCAGUUUAUUUAUAUACCAUGCACCCGCGAGGAUUUAUUUCACUGCCUGUGGAUCAAAAUAAAAUAUCAAUGUGUUUUACAGAAAACAAAAUAAAAUAUAGUUAAAAUAUCAGACUAUUCACGAAUUGAGACCAAAAAACAAUAGGGUCCAUCUGUGUCGGCCCAACAAAUGGCCCAAACUGUACAAUUGCCCCAUCCGCAGUCCGUGCGGUCCGCUCGCCGUACCCUUCUUUAUGUUAUUGGGCAAAAAUCUUCACCCAAUUGGUAAACGGGUAUUAAAACGUUCCACCUUCAUUCAUACCUGUUAACCCGUAGAUAUAAAAUACCCAAUAUAAACUUAGCCCAAACAUUAACUUAGAUUUAGUCAUUCAUCUUUUUUACUAUUUAAUAACCUUUUAGGCCAUUAUGUCAUAGAAGGCUUAACUACAAUUUAAUGACCAUGUAAUGGAACAUGUAAUUCACCCAAUGUGUAUUGAAUGGAUGGUUAAAUGAUGCUGGAAAUUUUGUAAUGGUAUUUAGAUGAAUAUACUUUAGAUUUGUAUAAUAUAAUAUUUUGAUAGAUGUUUAAUUUUUGUGGGUACGGGUGACCCGAUGGGUGACCUAUACCCACGUGGGUAUGAGUAUGAGGGUAAAUCCAUACCAACCAAUGUAUAUGAGUGAUCAGAUAUGAUUAUUUUUUUGUUGUGGAUAUGAGUAUAUGGUGGUAAUAUCUUGUAGGUAUCUAUUGCCAUCUCUAGCCUGAGGUCCUGAGCGGCGUGCGGCGCUUCUCCAAAUCUCCCAUCCUAUCGACGCACGUUCCUGCGUUCGAAACCCUAUUUCCGUCCGAGGCGGCGGCGGCGGCGGACCGGCAGCUCCCCGCUCGGCUUGUAUUGGGCGGUUGUCGCGCUGCAGCAGCCAGGGGCAUCGUCGCGCUCGCACCAACCGAAGACGGCGUCAGCCUCCACGCGGCACCGACGACCGACCCACCGUCCCAAGUCCAACGAGGAGGCCGGAGCGCUGAGCAGCCGUCUGCAUCCUCCUCCCGAAGGUGAGCCCCCAUCCCCAGUCCUAAUUCACCAGGUACAGGCCGAUUAGCAUAUUAACAGGCCCACACACAACCCAUCACCGCUAAACCCUUUCUUUACAACCAACACAGCAGGCGAUAUAUCACACACACACAGGACAGGGCAACCCCACCGGUCGGUGUCCACCCCGGGAAUUUGCCUGGCAAGGAUUUGCCUCCCCUGUGUGGGCUCCCCCAAAGUUUUCCUAGCCGGGCUGCCAAAGGAGGCCUUACAGUGACCAUCACCCACUAGGUUUGCCUACCCCUUCUCUUCCCUUCCUGUUGUGCGAAACUGAGCACCCAAACCCUAACUUAAGCUAUUUUGCUAUCUGUACUUGCAUCUGAUAGUUAUCAAUCUAUGCGUCUUUCUUGGCUACUGAAUUAAAUACUGUGUCUGCCCCUAGUUCUUCUGCGGCGAACAAGGUCAAUCCAGGGCCGUGGUGCGGGUGCUGUUUUUUUUCCAACAAGUUUAUGUUGGUCGCUCGACCGCUGCAGCAAUGAAGAUGUGAGUGCUCGUGUCUCACCGCCAACCUAUAACUUUUUGUUGUUCCUUGUUACUUGUAUGUCGCGCCAACCUAUGCAUCGUCUACUGUACAUAUACUUUUUUUUCCUGAGCACCACUGUACGUAUUUCGCACCAUGCAUUUCUUUGAAAAAAAAUGAUCCGACAUGUGCUUCAGAAGUUGCUGUUGGCCUGGGUUCAACCAGGCUGCCUUGGAUGCGAGUCCUUGAUUAAUGAUCUUUUUCAGUUUUGCUGGAUAAUUUUCUCGAACUUUAACCAUAAAUGGGUGAUCAAGUGUGAGGCCAACCAUGUAGAUUUUUCAAGUUUAUUUCUCAAUUUUCAAGGCCGACAAGGGCGGCAGCAACAAGGGCGCGCCUGGCAGCAAGGGGUGGCAGGAGAUCGGCGUCAUCGAGGAGGAAGGGCUCAUGGACGAGGAGGACCACACGCGGAUCGUGCCCUGCAAGUGCUACUGCUUCCUCGCCUUCCUGCUCGGCUUCGUCGCGCUCUUCUCCUUCUUCGCGCUCGUGCUCUGGGGCGCCAGCAGGUCCCAGAAGCCGCGCAUCGUCAUGGGCACCAUCCGCUUCGACAACUUCAUCAUCCAGGCCGGCACCGACGCGUCGCUCGUGCCCACCGACAUGGCCACCACCAACUCCACCGUCAGAUUCACCUACCGCAACAGGGGCACCUUCUUCGGGAUCCACGUCACCGCCGACCCGUUCCAGCUCUCCUACAGCCAGCUCACGCUCGCGUCAGGAGACGUAAGUGAAUCUGUCCUCGUCCGUCCAUCCAGAUGGAGAUCCAUCUAUCCUGGACUGUCUAACAAAG
rnacentral:lncRNA from 1 species